UUUGACAUGCACGGAAACUGGAGUUGUAAUACAAGACUGGUACCUAUCACCCAUUGGUUGAAAUUGUGAAUUAUUUCCCUUUGAUUGAAAUUUUGAAUUAUUUCCCUUUGGUUUAAAUUGUGAAUUAUUUCCCCUAGGUUGAAAUUGUGAAUUAUUUCCCUUUGGUUAGGCCUUUAGAUUUGUAUACAAAAAAUAGACCAGA
rnacentral:lncRNA from 1 species